GACGAACGCUGGCGGCGUGCUUAACACAUGCAAGUCGAACGGAAAGGCCCUGCUUUUGUGGGGUGCUCGAGUGGCGAACGGGUGAGUAACACGUGAGUAACCUGCCCUUGACUUUGGGAUAACUUCAGGAAACUGGGGCUAAUACCGGAUAGGAGCUCCUGCUGCAUGGUGGGGGUUGGAAAGUUUCGGCGGUUGGGGAUGGACUCGCAGCUUAUCAGCUUGUUGGUGGGGUAGUGGCUUACCAAGGCUUUGACGGGUAGCCGGCCUGAGAGGGUGACCGGCCACAUUGGGACUGAGAUACGGCCCAGACUCCUACGGGAGGCAGCAGUGGGGAAUAUUGCACAAUGGGCGGAAGCCUGAUGCAGCAACGCCGCGUGCGGGAUGACGGCCUUCGGGUUGUAAACCGCUUUCGCCUGCGACGAAGCGUGAGUGACGGUAAUGGGUAAAGAAGCACCGGCUAACUACGUG
rnacentral:rRNA from 1 species